ACGGGGGAUGCAAGUGUUAUCCGGAAUCACUGGGCGUAAAGCGUCUGUAGGUGGUUAAGUAAGUCAACUGUUAAAUCUUGAGGCUCAACCUCAAAAUCGCAGUCGAAACUGCUUGACUAGAGUAUAGUAGGGGUAAAGGGAAUUUCCAGUGGAGCGGUGAAAUGCGUAGAUAUUGGAAAGAACACCGAUGGCGAAGGCACUUUACUGGGCUAUUACUAACACUGAGAGACGAAAGCUAGGGUAGCAAAUGGGAUUAGAUACCCCAGUAGUCCUAGCUGUAAACAAUGGAUACUAGAUGUUGAACAGAUCGACCUGUGCAGUAUCAAAGCUAACGCGUUAAGUAUCCCGCCUGGGAAGUAUGCUCGCAAGAGUG
rnacentral:rRNA from 1 species